ACGUAGGGGGCAAGCGUUAUCCGGAAUUAUUGGGCGUAAAGAGUGCGUAGGUGGUUUUUUAAGCGUGAGGUGAAAGGCAAUAGCUUAACUAUUGUAAGCCUUGCGAACUGGAAGACUUGAGUGCAGGAGAGGAAAGUGGAAUUCCUAGUGUAGCGGUGAAAGGCGUAUAUAUGAGGAGGAACACCAGAGGCGAAGGCGACUUUCUGGACUGUAACUGACGCUGAGGCACGAAAGCGUCGACAGCAAACAU
rnacentral:rRNA from 1 species